ACGGACUCACUGCUUCUCAUAUCCUAACGAAAUCAUCACCCACGGUCACGCCAUUCCUUAGUCCAACUAUAGCAAUAAUCUCUUGCUCUCAACUUCUCGACGUCACCAAUUCACUUGUUCUUUUUUCAAAUUUUCUCCUCUCUCUAACUUUAACUGCCGAACAUUCGCGAUCAUGGCGACUUCUGGGAGCGACGAGUUUGUCAAAGGAAAUGUUCAUCCAAACGGCGUCGCAGUCAUCACUCUCGAUCGUCCCAAAGCUCUUAACGCCAUGAAUCUAGUUUUAAUCUUCUGGUGGCUUCUCUUCAGCUUUUGGUUUCUGUUUAUGCAUAACUUGUAUGCCCGUCAUGGUACAGAUAUGGACAUAAAAUACAAGAAUUUUCUUGAUGAAUGGGAAUCAGACCCACGGGUCAAAUGUGUGCUAGUGGAAGGCAGUUCACCUCGUGCCUUUUGUGCAGGAAUGGAUAUCAAGGGACUAGCUGCUGAAAUUCAACGAGACGAGAACACACCCCUUGUGCAAAAGGUAUUUACUGCUGAGUAUUCUCUGAUUUGCAAAAUUUCUGAGUACAAAAAACCAUAUUUGAGCUUCAUUGAUGGUAUAACAAUGGGAUUUGGAAUUGCUCUGUCUGUUCAUGGUCGCUACAGAAUUGUAACAGAGCAGAGGACUGUUCUCGCCAUGCCAGCAAAUGGAAUUGGCUUAUUCCCAGAUGUUGGAUUUUCAUAUAUUGCUGCACAAAGUCCAGGAGGAGGAUCUGUUGGUUCUUAUCUUGGAUUGACUGGGAAAAGGAUUUCCUCACCUGCUGAUGCAUUGUUUGUUGGACUUGGAACACAUUAUGUCUCAUCUGGGAAUUUAGGUCCACUGAAGGAGGCCCUUUUGGCAGUUAACUUUUCCGAGGAUCCAGAUCAGGAUAUCAAAACACUUUUGGCAAAACACAACAGUGAUCCUGAGAGUGAGGCCAAAUUGAAGUUGCUUUUACCUCAAAUAAUUUCAUCCUUUGGAUCAGAAAAGUCAGUUAAGGAGAUAAUUGAAGAGCUUGAAAGACAUCAAUCAAGCAGUGAGGCUUCAGUGGUGCAGUGGGCUAAUGAGGCUCUUCAAGGUCUUGGAAAAGGUGCUCCAUUUUCUCUUUGUUUGACACAAAAGUAUUUCUCCAAAGUUGCAUCAGCAUAUGGGAAAGCUGACAAUGAUUUAUCGAAGCUAAGUGGUGUGAUGAAAAUUGACUAUCGAAUUGCUUUAAGAGCUUCUCUACGAGGUGAUUUUGCUGAAGGUGUUCGAGCAGUCUUAGUGGACAAGGAUCAGAAUCCGAAGUGGAAACCAUCAAGCCUGCUGGAAGUUGACCAAAGUGAAGUGGAAGCUGUAUUUGGACCUCUGGGGCCUGAAGUUGAGGAAUUGAAACUUUGAAGAAUGAACAUUAAAUGAUUGGAAGAAAGCUUACCCAUUGGAAAUGGACCUGGGCAUUCCUGCUUUGUCUUCACGUUCGUUCAUAAGAUUCUCCCCCACAAGCAAUACCAUGCGGCUGAAUUACCAUCACAAUUGGACCACAGAACUGAGCUUCAUUCAGAUUCAGCAAAUGAAAUACAGAGACCUCCAAUGAUUGCAACGUGCAAGACAAAAGAUUUUCCUCUGGUGGCAGGCUUUAAAGCAGCAUAACAAAUAGCCAACAGUCAUCAGCAUAAUAUGGUACAUAAGCAUGGAUGAUUAUGAAGGAGGGUUUAAGAGCCCAUAGAUUGAGGAAAUCAUUUCAAACAUUGAAGCCAACUAUUUUGGCUGGGCUUCAAGCUUUGCUUCCAUUGUUGUGGACUCAAACGAUGAUCUCUCAGUGGAGAAGAUUCAGAAAUGCUUGAAAUCUAUGAGACCUAAAGUUACAGUAACCUUGGCUGAAACUAUGUUUUAUAGUGACGAAAGGGAAAUUCUAGAUAAAGUUACGACUCUAUGCACAGUCAUCCAAAUUGCAAGCGACAUUGUGGUUCCAAACUCGGUUGCUCACUACAUGCAAGAGAAGAUCGAGGGAAAAUCAAUGGCGGAAAUGAUAGAGACUAAUGGACAUUUCCCACAGCUCACUGCUCACCUGGAGCUUGUUCAAGUCCUCGGUGGAGUUUUAGGGUUUUGAUCUUUGAUCAAUCUUUUUGAACAUUUAUGUAGGAGAUAUAAGUUGCCGACUAGUUUGUGAUAAUGAUAACUUGUUAGAAAUUAUGCUAUAAGAUGUGAUGUGGAAUGUGUUUUGUGCAGAAAAUUUAGUUUGAG